CAGUAGCCGCGGUAAUACGAAGGGGGCUAGCGUUGUUCGGAUUUACUGGGCGUAAAGCGCACGUAGGCGGAUCCUUAAGUCAGAGGUGAAAUCCCAAGGCUCAACCUUGGAACUGCCUUUGAUACUGUUUGGCUUGAGUUCGGGAGAGGUGAGUGGAAUUCCCAGUGUAGAGGUGAAAUUCGUAGAUAUUGGGAAGAACACCAGUGGCGAAGGCGGCUCACUGGACCGACACUGACGCUGAGGCGCGAAAGCGUGGGGAGCAAACAGGAUUAGAUACCCGUGUAGUCCCUGUCUCUUAUAC
rnacentral:rRNA from 1 species